rnacentral:rRNA from 1 species
CCUGAGUACGACGGAGCACGUGAAAUUCCGUCGGAAUCUGGGAGGACCAUCUCCUAAGGCUAAAUACUCUCUAGUGACCGAUAGUGAACCAGUACCGUGAGGGAAAGGUGAAAAGUACCCCGGAAGGGGAGUGAAAGAGAACUUGAAACCGUGUGCUUACAAGUAGUCAGAGCCCGUUAAUGGGUGAUGGCGUGCCUUUUGUAGAAUGAACCGGCGAGUUACGAUCUGAUGCAAGGUUAAGCAGAAAAUGUGGAGCCGUAGCGAAAGCGAGUCUGAAUAGGGCGAAUGAGUAUUUGGUCGUAGACCCGAAACCAGGUGAUCUACCCUUGGUCAGGUUGAAGUUCAGGUAACACUGAAUGGAGGACCGAACCGACUUACGUUGAAAAGUGAGCGGAUGAACUGAGGGUAGCGGAGAAAUUCCAAUCGAACUUGGAGAUAGCUGGUUCUCUCCGAAAUAGCUUUAGGGCUAGCCUCAAGUGAUGAUUAUUGGAGGUAGAGCACUGUUUGGACGAGGGGCCCCUCUCGGGUUACCGAAUUCAGACAAACUCCGAAUGCCAAAUAAUUUAACUUGGGAGUCAGAAUGUGGGUGAUAAGGUCCAUAUUCGAAAGGGAAACAGCCCAGACCACCAGCUAAGGUCCCAAAAUAUAUGUUAAGUGGAAAAGGAUGUGGCGUUGCCCAGACAACUAGGAUGUUGGCUUAGAAGCAGCCAUCAUUUAAAGAGUGCGUAAUAGCUCACUAGUCGAGUGACACUGCGCCGAAAAUGUACCGGGGCUAAACAUAUUACCGAAGCUGUGGAUUGUCCUUUGGACAAUGGUAGGAGAGCGUUCUAAGGGCGUUGAAGCAUGAUCGCAAGGACAUGUGGAGCGCUUAGAAGUGAGAAUGCCGGUGUGAGUAGCGAAAGACGGGUGAGAAUCCCGUCCACCGAUUGACUAAGGUUUCCAGAGGAAGGCUCGUCCGCUCUGGGUUAGUCGGGUCCUAAGCUGAGGCCGACAGGCGUAGGCGAUGGAUAACAGGUUGAUAUUCCUGUACCACCAUUAUUCGUUUUAAGCGAUGGGGGGACGCAGUAGGAUAGGCGAAGCGUGCUGUUGGAGUGCACGUCCAAGCAGUGAGAUUGAGUGUUAGGCAAAUCCGGCACUCUUAAGAUUGAGCUGUGAUGGGGAGAGGAACUUGUUCCUCGAGUCGUUGAUUUCACACUGCCGAGAAAAGCCUCUAGCUAGAAUAACGGUGCCCGUACCGCAAACCGACACAGGUAGUCAAGAUGAGAAUUCUAAGGUGAGCGAGCGAACUCUCGUUAAGGAACUCGGCAAAAUGACCCCGUAACUUCGGGAGAAGGGGUGCUCUUUGAGGUUCACGCUUCGAAGAGCCGCAGUGAAUAGGCCCAAGCGACUGUUUAUCAAAAACACAGGUCUCUGCUAAACCGUAAGGUGACGUAUAGGGGCUGACGCCUGCCCGGUGCUGGAAGGUUAAGAGGAGUGGUUAGCGCAAGCGAAGCUACGAAUCGAAGCCCCAGUAAACGGCGGCCGUAACUAUAACGGUCCUAAGGUAGCGAAAUUCCUUGUCGGGUAAGUUCCGACCCGCACGAAAGGCGUAACGAUUUGGGCACUGUCUCAACGAGAGACUCGGUGAAAUCAUAGUACCGGUGAAGAUGCCGGUUACCCGCGACAGGACGGAAAGACCCCGUGGAGCUUUACUGUAGCCUGAUAUUGAAAUUCGGUACAGUUUGUACAGGAUAGGUAGGAGCCUUAGAAGCGUGAGCGCUAGCUUACGUGGAGGCAUUGGUGGGAUACUACCCUAAUUGUAUUGGAUUUCUAACCCGCAGCACUUAUCGUGCUGGGAGACAGUGUCAGGCGGGCAGUUUGACUGGGGCGGUCGCCUCCUAAAGAGUAACGGAGGCGCUCAAAGGUUCCCUCAGAAUGGUUGGAAAUCAUUCAUAGAGUGUAAAGGCAUAAGGGAGCUUGACUGCGAGACCUACAAGUCGAGCAGGGUCGAAAGACGGACUUAGUGAUCCGGUGGUUCCGCAUGGAAGGGCCAUCGCUCAACGGAUAAAAGCUACCCCGGGGAUAACAGGCUUAUCUCCCCCAAGAGUUCACAUCGACGGGGA